rnacentral:rRNA from 1 species
UACGUAGGGUGCAAGCGUUGUCCGGAAUUAUUGGGCGUAAAGAGCUCGUAGGCGGUCUGUCGCGUCGGCUGUGAAAACCCGAGGCUCAACCUCGGGCCUGCAGUCGAUACGGGCAAACUAGAGUACUGCAGGGGAGACUGGAAUUCCUGGUGUAGCGGUGAAAUGCGUAGAUAUCAGGAGGAACACCGGUGGCGAAGGCGGGUCUCUGGGCAGUAACUGACGCUGAGGAGCGAAAGCGUGGGGAGCGAACAGG